GAAGAAGACGCUGAGCGAUUGUUGAAUGGAUCUGCCUUUGGUGGAGAGACAGCGGCGACAACAACAGGAAGAAAGAAACCGCUGUCCUUGGUAAUU
rnacentral:sRNA from 1 species